ensembl:lncRNA
AUACAAUACAAUAGAUCACAAUAAUUAUGCCUAUAGCAUUUAAUGUCUUAAAGACACCCCCAAAAAGUCAUUUUUUAUGUCAUUUCCUGUUUAAGAAGAAAUUAGCUCAACUCAACUCAGUGCAGCUGAAAACUCACCAUGAUGUUUUGCCUCUCCACCCAACUUGUGGCAGUUCUCUUUCUAGCAGUUCCCGGUGUGUGUAAAGACGUCCAACAGUCUCCAAAUGAAGUCUUGUGUCAUCCUGACAGUAUUGUUGAGUUGACAUGCAGCCAUAAAAUCAAGAGCUAUGACACAAUAUUAGGGUAUCAGCGCUCUGCUGGGGACACGCAACUGAAACUUUUAGCUUAUAUGUACUAUAAAACACCAGAGACAGAGGAUCCAUAUGUCAAUGUCUUUAAUGUAUCAGGUGAUGGUGAAAAAGCUGCUUCACUUCAUAUACCAUGUAACAGAGAGGCCAAAGUCACGGCUAUGUAUUACUGCGCUGCCAGUAUCACACAGUGCUGCAAGAGUUCAGCACUCUUUACAAUAACCUUCCUCUUAUUAGAAACCCCAUGAACACCUGCACAGACCAAAACUGGCUCACAUUCAUUUGCUGAUCACUGACAGCAUAUGAUUGUGUUUAUUCCUGAUGCUCACUAUACUACUUUUUGCUCACUACUCUUUAUAGACACCACCCUUCAAUAGACUUUAUAUGUAGGAGGUGCAACAUUACCCAUAAUCCAUUUGCAUCUCGUAGUACGGUAUGAAACAAUCCACUGAUUCCCUUCCUUAUCUGGUCUUUGACAUACACCCUCACACAACAUCAAGAUGAGAGGAUCUCUUGUUUCUUCAACCACCGUGAUUUGUUUCAUAGGUGUUGUGUUUUCUAGUAAGGUUGAUCAAAAUCCUUCUGCAAUUUUCUGGAGUCCUGAAAGUCCGUCUGAAAUCACCUGUCAACAUCAAAUAGCUAACUAUGACACUUUACUGUGGUACCAGCGCUCACAGACAGACACUGAGCUGAAACUCAUUGGUUAUGUGUAUUUUGAACAAAGAACUAUUGAGAAACCAUUUGAGAAGCAUUUUAAUGUGAGCGGUCACGGUAGAACAAACUCUAAACUUCAUCUUAUCCAGCUGAGAAAAUCUGAAGACAGCGCUGUGUACUACUGUGCUGCUUAUUACCACAGUGCUGUUUCCUCCCUUUCCAUUAAACAAAAACCCACCUUUAAUAAUCACGCAACUGAGAGAAGCUUUGCACAGCUGUCACAUGAUUUGGUACAAGAAAAAAAAAAAAAGCAUGGAUAGCAUCAUAUGUACACCAGAGGGCAGAAUUUUUUUUGCUCACUUAUACAGUAACUAGUUAUAAUGGGGUUUCCUUUCUCACAUGAAGGAAAAAAAGUUUAAGAAUGGGUUUGUUUCUCCCACCCAGUCAUUUGUCUUUAGGUACAACAUGAUUAGACAUCUGAUCAGCACUGCUAUCUUGUUGCUCUUUUUGACAGGUAAUGAAAUGCAUUCAAACAUUCUGGACCAGAAGUUGUGAACACACUGUACAAAUUACUUUUCAAAGUUGUAAAUAAAAAUUACUGGAGUGUGUUUUACA